GUCUAUGGCCAUGCCACUCUGAAUAAGCCCGAUCCUGUCUGAUCCUGGAAGCUAAACAGGGUUGGGCCUGAUUAGUACUUGGAUGGGAGACCACCUAGGAAUACCAGGUGCUGUAGGCA
rnacentral:rRNA from 1 species